CUCGACAAAAAUCCCAAAAUCACCAAUCUAAACCAUCUCCAUCUCCAUCUCCACCGGCCGGCCACACAAAACUCAAAAGAAGGUGACGUUUCGGCCCACGGCUCGACACACAGAAGCUCACGUUUGGAUGGUCCAAUCCACUCCGACGAGGCUAGCAAACAGUGUCCAUUGCUCUUAUCAUUCUCGAACUCAAUCAAUCCAAUCUCCCAUUGCACUUUUGGGAGAACAAACUUAUGAAAGAUGAAGCAUUGAGAAAUGGUUGGCAUCGGGAAUCUUACAUGUCCUGUCCUGUUACAAUGCAAAAGCUUCAUGAUCCUUCUUUUGUUUCUAGUAAUACUCUUCGUCAUUAACUGUUAUUGGGGUAUUUUUCUAAGAAUUGAAUUGUAGGUGAUAUUUUGUGGCAAUUGUAGGCAAUUGUUUUUGGGCUUUUCAUUCAUCAUUUGUGUGAUAUUUUGCAAUUUACAUAUAGCUUUGAUUCUAAAAUAUGGAUUUCUAACUUAGGUACUUUAAGCGUUGUACUUAUUAUGGAUCGAAGUUGGAUAAAUUUAAGAGAUCAAGCUUCUAGUGAA